GACGAACGCUAGCGGCAUGCUUAAUACAUGCAAGUCGAGGGGCAGCACGUUUCGCAGCAAUGCGGGUUGGUUGCGACCGGCAUACGGGUCAGGUUCGCGUACACAAUCUUCCCAGAGCAUGAGGACAACCCGGGGAAACUCGUACUAAUACCCCGUUGUUUCUUUUGGAUGCAUCUUUGAGGUAUUAGACCUCUGGUGGCUUUGGCUCAGGGUGCGUCCCAUUAGGUAGUUGGCUGGGUAACGGCCUACCAAGCCUUGGAUUGGUAACUGGUGUGAGAGAACGAGCAGUGAGACGGGGACUGGGACAAGGGCCAGAGACAUACGGGAGGCAGCAGUAAGGAAUGUUGGUCAAUGGAAGAAAGUAUGAAGCAGCGAUGCCGCGUGAAGGAUGAAGGUGCGCUGGAUGGUAAACUUCGUUUAGUGGGGGCGAAAAAAGUGUGUUGAAACGCAAGUGACGGUAACGGGUGAAUAAGCACCGGCUAACUCCGUG
rnacentral:rRNA from 1 species